rnacentral:rRNA from 1 species
AGAUUGAACGCUGGCGGCAGGCCUAACACAUGCAAGUCGAGCGGCAGCACGGGUACUUGUACCUGGUGGCGAGCGGCGGACGGGUGAGUAAUGCCUAGGAAUCUGCCUGGUAGUGGGGGAUAACGCUCGGAAACGGACGCUAAUACCGCAUACGUCCUACGGGAGAAAGCAGGGGACCUUCGGGCCUUGCGCUAUCAGAUGAGCCUAGGUCGGAUUAGCUAGUUGGUGAGGUAAUGGCUCACCAAGGCGACGAUCCGUAACUGGUCUGAGAGGAUGAUCAGUCACACUGGAACUGAGACACGGUCCAGACUCCUACGGGAGGCAGCAGUGGGGAAUAGUUGGACAAGUGGGACGAAAGCCGUAGAUCCAGACAAUGACCGCGUGAGUGAGUGAAGGUCCGUUAGGUUAGUAAAGUC